UGUAAGAACCAGGUCAAGCUCCUGGAGAUAAAACUCACAAAAUUGUGGGGACCUGCUGAUGACUGGGUCCCCCUGGAGUUUUUAACUCUCAGGCUUCUGCACACUGAGCCUCCAGCAAUUUGUCAAUUACAGUUCAGGUUUUCAUAUCCCAGCACCGGUUCUCAUGAAGGUUUCUGCUCCAGAGGUGAUGGGAACUCAUAAAACCUUCAACAACUGCCAUCUCCCUGGGUCCUGUGGAGCUGUUUGUGAAACUUAAGUUGCUGAAAUAGAAACUACCCUUCCUCCAUCCCGAAUCAUUAAGGACAUCCUAUCUACUACAGUGCUGUGCCACACCCUUGCUACAGGAGUGAUUACGUGACCCAGGCAGGGCCGAUCCUAAUAUCUCACUCCUCUGAACACAGUGAUUGGUUCAGGGGUAAGUAAUAAUUAUAAACAGAGCCAAUAAGAAUCAUUGCCUGGAGCUGAUAUACUGGUUUGAGAAGUAGGCAGUUUUUUUAGCUAGGAUGGGAUUGCUAAACUAUGACACAUAGUCUGAGAUCAUGGAUAACUAUCUUCCCUCAUCAACUGGGGAGCCUGAAGCAGUAGGAGAGGAGAAGACUAAAACAAAGAAGGAAGUAGAGCUGGAAAAGGAAGAGGCAGAAAAAAGGGAGGGUGUGGUGCGGGGAAAACACCACAUUCCCCGGGAAUUUUGUUGUGUUUGAAGCCAGAACCGACCCUGAGCUUCCUGUUAUGUGAACCAAUCCAUUUUCUUUCUGCUUUGGCUCAUGUGAGCUGGGUUAUUGUCACUUGCAAUUGAAAU